rnacentral:lncRNA from 1 species
UCAGCCCUGGGGACAGAGUCUCCGCGCUUCUUAGACAGACCUGACUUCUUCGAUUAUCCGGACUCAGACCAAGCCAGGCUGCUGGCUGUGGCCCAGUUUAUUGGAGAGAAACCCAUCGUGUUCAUUAACUCAGGGACAGCCAAGCGUUAAGGGGAAAAUGCAGAGCAAAAGGAGCCAAGGACAAAGAAAGUUCCAUGUACUUGGAGAGUAAACAAAAACGAGAAAUGGAUGAA